rnacentral:rRNA from 1 species
AUGCGCCUACGGGGGGCAGCAGUAGGGAAUCUUCCACAAUGGACGAAAGUCUGAUGGAGCAACGCCGCGUGAGUGAAGAAGGGUUUCGGCUCGUAAAGCUCUGCUGGUAGUGAAGAAAGAUAGAGGUAGUAACUGGCCCUUAUUUGACGGUAAUUACUUAGAAAGUCACGGCUAACUACGUGCCAGCAGCCGCGGUAAUACGUAGGUGGCAAGCGUUGUCCGGAUUUAUUGGGCGUAAAGCGAGUGCAGGCGGUUCAAUAAGUCUUGU